GGAAAGUGAUGAAAUUAGGAGAUUUCAUAAUAUCACGGCUGUCAAUUAGGAUCUGUGAUGAGGGACAAAGUUCUAUUUAAUGGGAAGAAACUCUCAAUUGAGAGUCAUUCAGACAAUUCUACAAUCUUGUCAGUAUGUGGGCCGAGCUCGCAUGCAGCUCGUCCCACUUAACACCCCUACCUCUCUUGUUUGAAUCAAUUUCUUAAACCUCUUCCCGCUCAUUGACUACUGGGAGAAGUUUCAAAUGGGACCUUCUUAGACAAUAAAAUUUACAGAAUACAGAUAAGGAAAGCAGUUAUAAUACAAUGCUUGACACAAUUUUCUAUAUGUAUAUAUAUUCUCACUUUCUUUUACAGUUGCAGAUUUAGCUCUUAAUCACUCUAAUAUGUCGCAAAAUGUGAUUUUAGCUAAUUGUUUGGGCUCCAACUAGAGAGAGGGCAAUCGAACGCAUGAAAAGGGCUCUUGAUGACACCAUUAUCACAGGGGUUCCAACAACAAUCGAUUACCAUAAGCUUAUCCUUGACAUUGAGGACUUCAAAAGUGGAAAAGUUGAUACAGCUUUUAUUCCAAAGCAUGAAGAAGAAUUAGCCGCGGUAAGUACCUUUAUUGUUAUCUUAUGCAAACUAAUUUAC